rnacentral:rRNA from 2 species
GACAGAGGUGCCAAGCGUUAGGCGGAAUCACUGGGCUUAAAGCGUGUGUAGGUGGAUGUCUAAGUACCUUGUGAAAUCCCACAGCUCAACUGUGGAACUGCUUGGUAUACUGGAUGUCUUGAGCCACUUAGGGGCUACCGGAACAAAUGGUGGAGCGGUGAAAUGCGUAGAUAUCAUUUGGAACGCCAAUGGUGAAAACAGGUAGCUGGGAGUGUGCUGACACUGAGACACGAAAGCCAGGGGAGCGAACGGG